rnacentral:misc_RNA from 1 species
AAAGCAGUGAGGAAAGUUGCAGAUAAUAAGAAACUGGAAACAAAGCUGGAUUAUAAGCCUGUGUAAAUUGACUGUAGAAACAUGGACCUAUAGCCUUUCAUUGGCAUUUGUGUUUAAAAGUUAUAAAAAAAAACUUAAAUAUUAAAAUGUAAAAUU